AUAAGGAAUAGUCAAAGUGACAACAACGUGAUCAAAGAGCAAAAAUUAGCCAAAGGCAAGUAAAUAUUGGAUUCUGUAAAAAAAAAAAAAAAUAAAAAAAUAAAACUUCUUGUUUUUCGUAUGUUCAUGUGGUUCAUAAAUGUCUCUCAGUUCUCUUUUUUCGUAUAGACUAGACCGUUGAUUUUUCCGUUUGAAUGGUUUUACAAAAUAAAUUGUGUGGCCCUUUAUAGCUUGAUGAAAUGUGACAGCAAAUGCUCCGUGUUGAAGGCUGUACUUUGACCUAUGAGGGUUUACUUUUACAAUUGAUGACUUGAAAGGCGAGUUGUCUCAUUGGCACUCAUACAUCAUCUUCUUGUAUCUAAUUAGAACAAUUUCAAUAUUAUAUUAUAUCGAAUUAUCUUCCCGUUACAUGUUUUCUAGCUCUGGUUUGAAGAAAACAUUGAUAUCUUAAGCUUGGGCUUGUGUACAUAUUCUGGUCUGACAACUUCUGCAAUAGUGUGCUAAAUAAAUAAAGUCGUGCAAAGGGUAGUCGUACUCAUCAAAGAUACUUACCUUAACAUUUGAGAAGAAAGACGCGCGUUUUCAUCUAAAUAUGAGUAUUUAUCGCACCGCGGGAAAAUUAUCACGUUGUGAUUAGUUUAACGUCGUCAUGUGGCGACCCCCUAUGAGGCAAUAGGGGGUACAUGACGCGUUAAUGGUGACGUCAUCUGUUAAAGUUGUUGUGUAACAUAGUUUAUUUUUUAACGAAACGCAGCAGAAAAGUACAGCAUACCAUAAAUUCGGUAUACGGUUAACUACGGACCCCUACAGAUCCAUAGAGUGUGAAUAAAAUCCAAAGGAUUUAACUAACCCUCUAUGGAUCCGUAGGAGGUAGUAUUGUUAUCAAUUUUUUAUAUUCAUGGAAGUUGUGUUUACAUAAUAAUCCGUCAAUAUUUGAUUUUUUAGCAUAAUAGAAUUGAUAUAAUAACUUUAUCGAUAUUUUGUGCAUUUUCCUUCGUCUUUUUGUAUAAUUUCAUAUCAUGCUACUCGCUUGAGAUGACAAUUAUCGUAGAACUAAGAAGGCAUGGCGUAAAAGCGUUGAAAGAAAUUGAAAUGAAUAGCAACAUAUCAUAGGUAAAUAGCGUAACAGAUACCCGUUACAUGUAUUAUAGAUUUAAUUGUCUCUCACUCGAUGCUUUUCUGCUUCGACGAGUUUCCAUUGGCUCUACCUCAGCUCUUGUAUCUAAUUAGAAAUUCAAUAUUAUAUAUAUCGAAUUAUCUUGUACAUGUUAUAGCUUGGUUAAGAAAACAGUGAUAUCUUAUUGGCUGUGAACAUUCUUGGUCUACACUUCUCCAAAUUCUGAUAAAUAAAGUUUAACAAAGUAGUCGAACUCAUCAAAGAUACUUACCUAAUUUGGAGAAAGAGCCGCGUUUUCUCUACAUAAAGUAUUAUCGCACCGGGGAAUAUACCGUGUGAUCGGUUAACGUCGUCUGUGCACCGCUAUGAGACUAUGGGGUUCAUGACGGCGUAUGGUGACGUCUCUGUAAUUUUUGUGUUACAUUGUAAGAAAAAUAGAACCAUAAUUGUUGUAAUUUACACAUGGCUGGCGUGAUAUUGAAUUUUUAUCCUAGCGUUAGCGAGGGUAAAAGAAAUACGCCCAGCAUGUGUAAAUUACAAAAUCUAUGGCUUCCUGAAUUAUUUGAUUCUAUAGACAAUGAUCAUCAAAAAACUGAAGCGAUGAUGGGUUACGUGUUGUGCGUUCUAUUUUACCACUGUUGAUAAAAUUACAAUUUAAUAACUGCAUGAUGAUUUAAUAACGCUAGAAAAAGGAUUCCUUUUGUUACUUCUCAGUAAACCAACAUUUUAAUUUUAAAUUUACAUUUUUAUCGUAAGCUACGUCAAAUCACUGUUACCUGUUUAACCAAAGCCGCCAUGUUGACUGCUGAAAUCAGUUAAUGUCGAAAUGCAAUAGAACAGAAAACAACAACACCUACCUCAAUAAUUUUAUUGUAAUGAAUUGUAUCCGAGUUUAGAAGGUAAACGCAAUAGAAAAACUUCCUGACGUUCAUACGUAUGACGUCAUGUUUGAAUGACGUUAAGCGCCAAAAUCAUUACUGAAUUUCGCGGUAAUUUAUUUGUUUUUGUCCUUUUUCCUUCUCUAAUGUGGAAUUCUUUUUGUUAUGCGUCAGAAUUAGAAUAAUGUCUUAGUUUUAUUCAAUUGUAAUUGUUAACACAGCGAAAUCCACAACCGUUUACACAUAGGUUACGAUACAUGUGGAUUUACGUGGGAGGCAUAUUUAAACAGCCAUUUGUGUACAUCUUAGAGUCUGCGCUAAGUAUAAUAUAUCGAGAAUUUUAUCACGGUGUUGUUACAAAGCCAAAGAAGCACUAUAUUAGAAUUAUUGUUAACACGCAGCAAAAAAGUACAGCAUGCUAUAAAUUCGUUAUACGGUUAACUACUGACCCCUACGGAUCCAUAGAGUGUGAAUAAAAUCCAUAGGAAUUGACUAACCCUCUAUGAAUCCGUAGGGGUCAGUAGCGAACCAUACAACCAUAUUAUCAGUGACGCUAAAC
rnacentral:lncRNA from 1 species